rnacentral:rRNA from 1 species
AUUGAACGCUGGCGGCAUGCUUUACACAUGCAAGUCGAACGGUAACAGGCCGCAAGGUGCUGACGAGUGGCGAACGGGUGAGUAAUGCAUCGGAACGUGCCCAGUCGUGGGGGAUAACGCAGCGAAAGCUGUGCUAAUACCGCAUACGAUCUAUGGAUGAAAGCGGGGGACCGUAAGGCCUCGCGCGAUUGGAGCGGCCGAUGUCAGAUUAGGUAGUUGGUGGGGUAAAGGCUCACCAAGCCAACGAUCUGUAGCUGGUCUGAGAGGACGACCAGCCACACUGGGACUGAGACACGGCCCAGACUCCUACGGGAGGCAGCAGUGGGGAAUUUUGGACAAUGGGCGCAAGCCUGAUCCAGCAAUGCCGCGUGCAGGAAGAAGGCCUUCGGGUUGUAAACUGCUUUUGUACGGAACGAAAAGGUCUGGAUUAAUACCCUGGGCCGAUGACGGUACCGUAAGAAUAAGCACCGGCUAACUACGUGCCAGCCGCCGCCGUAAAAC